UACGGGGGGGCAAGCGUUGUUCGGAAUUACUGGGCGUAAAGGGCUCGUAGGCGGCCAACUAAGUCAGACGUGAAAUCCCUCGGCUUAACCGGGGAACUGCGUCUGAUACUGGAUGGCUUGAGAUUGGGAGAGGGAUGCGGAAUUCCAGGUGUAGCGGUGAAAUGCGUAGAUAUCUGGAGGAACACCGGUGGCGAAGGCGGCAUCCUGGACCAACACUGACGCUGAGUGAGCGAAAGCCAGGGGAGCAAAGCGGG
rnacentral:rRNA from 1 species